rnacentral:lncRNA from 1 species
AACAUGAUGUAAUGCACUGUCCCACUCUGCAGGGCACGUUCCAGGGUCGUCGGUUGUCUCUGUAGCACUUUUCCGUCGCCUGUGAGAGCCAGACCAGGAUUACACUUUGCACGUGGUGUUGCUUUCUUCAGCCUCCUUUCAUCUGAAACAGCUCCUCAGCCUUUUUUUAUCUUUCAUGACAUUGACAUUUUUGACAAACAUAGGCUCAGUGAUUUUAUAGAGUAUUCUUAAAGUUGGAUUGAGGGAUAUCCUAUAAACAUUUGUUUCUUCCUGAUGAGAUUGAGAUUUUGCAUCUCCAGUCAGGAAUACAACAUAAAUAAUGCUGAAUCCUUCUCAGCAUCAUACCCAGAGACAUACGAUGUCCAGGGGAUGUUCCAGUUGACCAACUGGACAUUGACUUCUGAAGGACGGUUGGACACAACUCCUGUUGGUGAUUCCUUUGCUCAAGCCGUCCUCCCACGUCAGCCUCCUGAGUAGCUUGGAAUACAGAUUGAGAUGGCACAGAAGCUAUUGAACUCUGACCUGGGUGAGCUCAUCAACAAGAUGAA